UUUUUGAUUGUGAAGCACACAACAACAAAAGCGCUGUGUAUAUGUGCGCGCGGUGUGAAAAAAAUCAAUUGGUGGCAGAGAUGCCAGUAGCAAGAAAAAGCAGCAGCAGCAGCAGAGGCAAAGACGCAGAACUACGGGAUGAUGUUGGCGAUGAUAUAGUGAUUGUGGUGCCCCUCUGUGGCUCUUGGAGUUUUUUCAGUGAAUCUUUGAGUGACCAUGAAAAUGCCAGCGAGAAAUUUUCAAAAAUCAAUGAGCACAAGUGAAAUACAAGCAACAACAACAAAAUCAUUCAACAAAAAAGUGAAGCAUCAACCAUCAACCAUCAACAACAACAACAACAAAGCGAAACGCGCAGAAAUAACCGCAAUAAAAAAAUAAUCAAAAAAAUAGUAAUAUUAAUAAUAAUAAUAAUAGCGUUUAAGUGAAAUCCGCUGCUGGCUGGCUGGCUGGCUGGCUGAAGAAAACCGUUAUGCUGCACUGCCUCCCACAGCUGGGCCGCAGCUAGAGCUAGUGGACACUCGGACGAACAUCAUGGAUGGACAGCGGGCCCGCGAUCUGCUAACGCUGCUCCAGGAGCGUGUCGUCUUCCUCACGGGCGGCAGGGACAGGCGUGGCGGUCCACUGCUCUGCUUCCCCGCAACGCCGCGUCGCGACCGCCUCAAGCCGGAGGAUCUGCGACGGCUGCUCAGCUACCUAAUCAGCAUACCCAGGUGAGUG
rnacentral:misc_RNA from 1 species